rnacentral:rRNA from 1 species
GACAGAGGGUGCAAACGUUGUUCGGAAUUACUGGGCGUAAAGCGUGUGUAGGCGGUCUUGAAAGUCGGAUGUGAAAGCCCCAGGCUCAACCUGGGAAGUGCACCCGAAACUCCAAGACUUGAGUAUCGGAGAGGUUGGUGGAACUCUCGGUGUAGAGGUGAAAUUCGUAGAUAUCGAGAGGAACACCGGUGGCGAAGGCGGCCAACUGGACGAAUACUGACGCUGAGACACGAAAGCGUGGGGAGCAAACAGG